AACGAACGCUGGCGGUAUGCUUAACACAUGCAAGUCGAACGGAUUUUGGGGCAACUCAAAAUUAGUGGCAAACGGGUGAGUAAUGUAGAGGAAUCUCCCUAGCAGUAAGGAAUAACUUUGGGAAACCAAAGCUAAUACCAUAUAUUACCGACCUAGUCGGGAAAGAUUUAUCGCUGUUAGAUGAGCCUCUAUCGGAUUAGCUAGUUGGCGGGGUAAAUGCCCACCAAGGCGAUGAUCCGUAGCUGGUCUG
rnacentral:rRNA from 1 species